CUAUAGUACUUUUCCAUGCAGACUUGUGCACAUGUGAGAGGGUGUCCAGUUUGUCUAGUGAUUGUUCUUUAGAGAGUUGGACCACUAUUGUGUGUUGCUAAUCAUUGACUGUAGUCCCAAAAUAGCCUUGUGAAAAUGUUAUGCCCUAUGUAACAGCAGAGUAACAUAAAAUAAAAUUACAUUUUAUUAAAAAAAAAGAGAGAGAGAAGAGCAUGUGUAUAUGU
rnacentral:lncRNA from 1 species